ensembl:lncRNA
CGCAAUAUAAUAUACUUCUAAGGUUACCGUUCUUUCUCAUCUUUCCUUAACUACCAAAUCCGAGCUUACGGAAGGCAAAUUUAUUUGAACACCAGAAAUAAAACAUAAGUUAAAGCUACAUGAUGCAGCGCACGUUUGUGUAUAGAUAGAUGAUCACAGACUGAGUUCUAGAGACGGCUCUGCCAAGUACUUCUAAAAUUUCUGCUCUAUUUCCUUAAUAUCAAGUUUUUCGUUUUAGUUUCACAUUCGGUAGACUUUAUGACACAAUUUAAAUUUUUUUAUAUUUUGGAAAAGACUAUCUAACGCAAAUGUGUAUUACUUCCUCACAAGUGCAUCUGAUAAUUUUGUUGUACAUACUUUUUACCUACCGUUAACGCUGGGGAGUGGGUCCGAAAGUACCUCCAGCUGGUGUACCUUUCACUCUACUUCCGCAUUUUGAGCAAUGACUUCUUUUACUCCCUUGCUUGACCUUUAAAUCUUUUCCUCGCGCCGCAACCGCGCCCCCCAGCCCCGUUCAGCAAUCCGGUUUUCUUUUUCACUUUCAGGUAAUCUUGCAUUACUCCCUAACAACCUUUGUAUAGCAAUGGGAGGUGAGGAAGGAGGGGUCACAGUCUACUUAGUGCGCUUCUGCCCCCAGGUUCCUCUGGCCAGGUUUGCACACCACGCCUCACCUCCAAUGGCAUGCCUUAGGUGCACAAAGUGCAGGGCUCGCAGGCAGCUCCAACUGCUUGUUUACUUGCAGCAGCAGCUGUGCUAGCAGCACCAGGAGCAUCCGCAGGUCGAGAGCUCCCAGUCAGCGGCGCACCAAAAAUGCAGCCGAGGUGGAGGGGGGGCGCAAGGCAAUUAGAGGAGCCAGCCCCGCCCCCUCCGCAUCCCUACACCGCUCCCCCGCCCCCCCGCACAUUCCCCCAGUUUCCCUCCCCACCCUCACUCCCGGUCACGCUCGGCAAGGGCUCGGCCCCGGGCGCCCUAGCCCUCGCACCGCCGCGGGCAACAUCGCCAUUCCUGCUUAUUUCGGCAAGGGGGUAAGGGGGAAGAGGCUGUUUCGGAGCCCUACCUGGCCCUGGCGUCGCCAGCUCGCCCCAAACGGAUUGUGCAGCGGCUCCAAAACAUCGGCCCAACCCACCACGUCGGCGGCCAGGGCCCCUCGUGACGUCGGCACCACAACAACAACACCGACAGCCGCCACCGCCUCAGGCGGCCUCCGAGGAGGGGGAGGGGGAGGAGAAGGAGGGCUGCCCAGGACCCGGCCGGCUCGCCUCCUCACCGCCGACCGGGGCGCGGAGCAUGCGCACGAGAUCCGGGAGCCCCGGGGCACCGGCCGGGCCGUGACGCCGGAGAUCAACAAGUCCCCGAAACGCCCCCCUCUCUUCCCCCGCCCCAACAUCCCCAGCUCCGCCUCCCGCGAGCAGCCUCAGCUUCCAGUCUCAAAUAACGCGAGACACAAUAUUUGCCGCCUCCCUUACCUUCUCCUGGAAUUGGUCAAAGCCUUCUGCCAAGUUUGAUGAUGUCUGGGCUGCGUUGGAGCCUGCUGCCAAGAAGGACAGAAGGACAGCCAGCACAGUGAGACAGAAAUUGUUACACGAUGGGCUGGCAAGAGCUAGAGCAGAACAGGAGCCAGGUAAGUGGGUUUGGAUGUGUUGGGUAUUUACUUGCUUCUUUACUCUGACCAGUCAAUGAUGUG